CAAGCACCCUUCUUUCUCAUUUUUCUUUUAAUUUUGUUGUUGUUGUUUUGAGCCAGAUUCUAAGGCGAGUAGAGGCAGAUCUCUCAAGAUUCCAGCAAGGAAGAUGAUACCAUCAAACCCUGCUCAGCAGACUUCAAGGGACUUCAAAUUCAGGAAAUGGUGUGGGAAAAAUGAUUUGAAAAUUCUGAAGUGCUACACAAAAAGCCUAUUAUUAUUAUCUGGAUGAUAUACCGGAUCCAAAAGCAAAAAGAAAUCAAGGAUGUGCUGGGACUGGCUCUGUGGCCUGCUCUGAGACAACGUUUACAUACGUUCACCAUGUUUUUAAUCAUUUCCUGGCAAUUCUGGAGAGGAACAAGGUAAUGAUACUGUGCCCUUCCUUG